rnacentral:rRNA from 1 species
CACCGCGGUUAUACGAGAGACCCAAGUUGAUAAAUACGGCGUAAAGAGUGGUUAAGGAUAAUAAAGAAAUAAAGCCAAAGGCCUUCCAAGCUGUCACACGCACCUCGAAGGUACGAAGCCCAAACACGAAAGUAGCUUUACCACCUGCCUGACCCCACGAAAGCUAAGAAA